GAGUAAACUUUUUCCUACGCUAAUUCAUGGUUUGAAGGACUAUAUGAACGUAAAGAAACGUUUAUGGAAAGACAUACAUCAGUUAUCAAUGGAGAGCAGCGCCACUACCGUAAUGAAGAUAUGGACCGGUGAAUUUGGUAUGAGGUAUCUGGUAUUUAUAUUAUUUUAAGACAGGCUAGAACUUCUUAACACUUUCCCAUAACACAGACAUUUAGGGAUGGGAUGUUUGUGGCGGUUAGUAUUAUAACAUAGUUCAUCCCAACCCUCUCGGCAGUGCCAAGUUCUAUCCGGUUGGUUCUGAGUCCAAUGGAUGCUUUCAAGUUAGAGUCAACUGACCUGCAGAUCGCAUUUCCGCGUGCCAACAACUGGACGAACAUGUGCUACUGUUUGAUUGUGGUUUGUGGAUGGCUGUGGUGUAAGACAAUCACUAUAAAUAGGGGUUGAGUUGUUAGGAUCCCCGUAGGAUAUUUGCAGUUGUCAGUCGAGUAUUUCAUUUCUGAUCAGUGCCCUUUGUGGUGGUCUCACAGCUUUUUCAUGAUGGUUGCGGGCUCAGUACAGCACUAAUUUGAUGGGCAGGUGGGGUACUGUUACACUGUGGCCUGGUCUGACUUGUUCUAUGACACUGGCGAUGUAAAUAUUAGAUUAAUGCUGGAUUAAGAUUAGAUUAAGGCUGAAGUAAAAGUGAAGUAUAGCCUCUAGCCUGUGCUAGUUGGCGGGGGGAUCAUCCACUCCUGGUGGUCAGGUAGUGCAUUAGUUUAGUUUAGUGAUAAGUCAUUAGAAUUAAGAAAUUAGAAAUCUAAGUUUAGUUUUAAGAUUGGAGUGAUAUUAGUAAAGUAAAGCCUCUAGCCUUUGCUAGUUGGCGGGGAAGAAAAAUUAUAGCCUCUAGCCUUUGCUAGUUGGCGGGGGAUAGCCUCUAGCCUUUGCUAGUUGGCGGGGAAGAAAAUGUAUAGCCUCUAGCCUUUGCUAGUUGGCGGGGGAUAGCCUCUAGCCUUUGCUAGUUGGCGGGGAAGAAAAUGUAUAGCCUCUAGACUUUGCUAGUUGGCGGGGAAGAAAAUGUAUAGCCUCUAGCCUUUGCUAGUUGGCGGGGGAUAGCCUCUAGCCUUUGCUAGUUGGCGCGGAACUGAAGAUCAAUGCAAUCCUGUAAAACCUUGGGUUUAAACUGAUUUCUAACCUAAUUUAAGUCUUAACUUGCAUGAAAUUUAGUUUAUAAGUGACUAUAUACCAUUGAUAAUUCUGAAGUUAUAUCAUUAAAGUAUAGCCUCUAGCCUUUGCUAGUUGGCCGUGGAUAGCCUAUAGCCUUUGCUAGUUGGCGGAGAGAUAGCCUCUAGCCUUUGCUAGUUGGCGGGUGAUAGCCUCUAGCCUUUGCUAGUUGGCGGGGGAUAGCCUCUAGCCUUUGCUAGUUGGCGGGUGAUAGCCUCUAGCCUUUGCUAGUUGGCGGGGACGAGAAAGCGUUGCCUCUAGCCUUUGCCAGUUGGCGGGGGGAACAUGUACUCCUGUUGGUUCAGGAAGUGCCUUAGUUUAGUUUAAUGAUAAGUUAAAGUUGUAAUUUAUAAUUUAUCAACAUUGUAUUAAUGGUCUGUUUCUUGAGUAAGUUUCAGGUUCAUCAUGGCUUCCCUUACACAUGUUUACAAAUAUUUUCUGUGUGCAUGAAAAUAAUUACAAUAUUAAUAUUAUUAUAUUUUUAACAAUAUUAUAUUAUUGUAUUCAAUAUAAUUGUUCUGUUUCUUGAGUAUGUUCCAGGUUCAUCACAUGGCUUCUCUUUCACAUGUUUACAACUAUAUACUGUGUGCAUGUGAUCAGUUUCUAAUAUUAAUAUUGUAUUUAAUUUGUUACAAUUUUUAUUAUUGUAUCUAAUGUUAUUCAUUGUAUUAAAUUGCCCUGUUCCUUAAUUUGUUUACAGGUUCAUCACAGCAUCACUUCUCUAAUAAUUAUAAACACAAUCGUCGCAGCUAUUCAUUCAUUUUUACUCUGUGAGUAAAAUGGUGUCUUUGAAUUUACAUUUUACUCUGUGAGUGAAAUGGUGUUUUUGAUUUACAUCCAAUAACAAUGGAUUCUUUGAGUAAUUAUCUUAUAUCUUGAAUUUGUAUUUUUUAUCUACAUUGUAUUCAAUCCUUUUGUUUCAGUUUCAUAGUGUUUCAGGUACAUCUUUUUAAACGCUCAUAUUUUUCAUCUUAGCUCAUCUUUUUAAACGCUCACAUCUUUUCCUCCUCCAUGCUUACUGUGUACAUGCUUUGAGUGACCCAUGUUGCAUUUAGAACAACUCAAGUUCUUUGUCAACAUAAAUUUUCUCAAUUUUUAUGUUUCUCAAGUACGUUUCAGAUUCAUUGCGGCUUCUCUACUUAAAGUGCGCACAUGCUCACAACUUUUAUUUUUCAUUUGAGUGUGAUGCCCGCAUGAGAUCUAGGCUUGUGCAUGGUUGAUGAGGCGGAUGAUAAGAUAUGAAUGCACCUACAGUUUGAGUUUUACAGUUUCAUUUCUUCAUGUUUUCUGAGUGCAUGCUUCGAGUGAUCUAGGCUUGUGCAUGGUUGAUGAGGCGGAUGAUAAUUAAUAAGAGAUGAAUGCACCUACAGUUUUAGUUUUAUCUCGUCAUUUUUAUUGAGUGCAUGCUUCGAGUGAUCUAGGCUUGUGCAUGGUUGAUGAGGCGGAUGAUAAUAAGAGAUGAAUGCACCUACAGUUUUAGUUUUAUCUCUUCAUUUUUAUUGAGUGCAUGCUUCGAGUGAUCUAGGCUUGUGCAUGGUUGAUGAGGCGGAUGAUAAUUAAUAAGAGAUGAAUGCACCUACAGUUUUAGUUUUAUCUCUUCAUUUUUUUGAGUGCAUGCUUCCAGUGAUCUAGGCUUGUGCAUGGGUAAUGAGGCGGAUGAUAAUAAGAGAUGAAUGCAUUUGCAGUUUUAGUUUUACAGCUCUAUCUCUUCAUGUGUUUUGAGUGCAUGUUUAGGAUGAUUUAUGUUGCAUCUUGAACACGUUGUGUUGUGGCCAUUUGUUGCAUACUAUAUGUUCACUUUUAUGUUUGAUAUGUGAUGAAAAACAUGUGUUAUAAUAAUAUUAUAUGUUGUAUAUUGCAUAAUAUUCAUUAUAAAUCUUGAAUGAGCUGUAGGCAUAUAAUAGAUAGAUAGAUUUAAUUCAUUUGCUAUGGACCAUACAGUCAUCAGCAACGCCAGUAAAAUAUUCAUAACACUAAGGCCCGGUUGCACAACAGUCGGUUAAAUUUUAACCGUGAUUAAUUUCACGAGAACCAAUCAGAGAUGGCCUUCUUGAUAACACGGCUUCUCUGAUUGGCUCUCGUGGGAUUAAUCACGAUUAAAAUUUAACCGGCUGUUGUGCAACCGGCACUUAACACUUCAUUGAUAAAAGAAUGUGUGAGAAACUCCUCCAAAGAAUAGAAGGGGUUUGCAAGCAGAUCAAAUAGUGAUUUGUUGAACAAAGAGACUGGAUAAUGUUUUAAUGACUCUGGCAACCCAUGUAGGAAUCAUAAGCUAUUUGUUGCAUACUAUCCAAUUAUUGGUCUUGAAUGUGUUGCCAGGUAUUAUUGUAUUCAAAAUUAUAAGUCAAGGUGAAUUAAAGAGAUGUUUUCAGUUCUACAGAAUAAUGUAGAACUGACAACAUCUCUUUCAAUAUUCAUCUUAAUAUGGAGCGAUUCCACUUCUCUUUUCCUGGUGUAAAUUUUAAAAUUAUAUAUUAUUUGCUGCAUCUACUUUCCACUUGUAUGUCUUGGAUGUGAUGUUAGGAACGUGUUUGAAUUUUAAUAGUCAUUUUAUAUUAUAUCAUCACCAUAAUGAUCAUCACUACUAUUUUUUCAAGAUAAUGGCUCAACUCACACUUACGCGACUCAGGUCGAGAAGAGACUCGACUCUAGUCGAGAGCAUGUGUUUUCAAAUGGUGACGUCGCGGAGACUAAAGUCGAAUGGUCUGAGUGUCACCAUUUGGAAACACAUGCUCUCGACUGGAGUCGAGUCUCUUCUCGACCUGAGUCGCGUAAGUGUGAGUUGAGCCUUAGAUUUCUCAUUAUUUUAGUGCUGUGUUACAGUUGAACUAAAACAUAUUUCGUUUCAGAUUAUGGGGUUUCAGCUAUAUUUUCAACUCUUUAUUACAUUUUAGUGUCAUAACAUUAAAUUUUCAAGUACUAAAUCAAGAAGAUCCUAGUGCCUUUGAAAAUUUAUGUUGAAAAAUGUAAUAAAUGAGUUCCAAUAAUAAAUAAAUUCAAUGGGAAUUUUCUAUUAUUAUGGGAAUAAAAUAGGCCUAUAUCAUAGCCACCUCUUAAUACAUACAUCUAUUAG